rnacentral:piRNA from 1 species
UGCUGCACAAAGCCUCGAGCCCGCG